CCCUCCUAAAUUUUCCCCCAAAUUAAACCCCAUAACCUAUUUCCCUCCUACUCCAAAAUUCAUCAUAAUCGUUUUCUGCUCUGGUUUACACCUCACGCUUCCUGUUCAUCUGCUUACAAAUCAUCAACGAAUAAACUUCCACUCAUUCACUGAUCAACACGCAAAUCAAGCAAAAGUUCUUCAGCGUUGGAGCGGAGCAGUCAUGAUUCUACUUGUCUAGGCAUCGAGCGUUAGAGAAACUGAGCAGGUCGGAGAUAAAGUUUUCCUCAAAAGCAUUCUAAACUCUACCGAGACUGUAGCAAGAGAAAGGGUCCAGAGCUUGGACCCAAAUGAUCUAGUUGGUGGUACAGAGAUUGGACUAGAAUGGUGUGAGGUAAACAUUCAAGUACCAAUAAAAAAAGAUGAAAACUUGGUAAGACCAUAUGGUUUAUUUUCUACAAUUCAAGAUUGUAUUGGUGCGUCCAUCGCAUGGCGCUAUCCAUUCAUCUCGGUAGUCCAUGAGGAUUGAGGACGUAUGAUGACUAAAGAUUUUAUGCUUCUUAUUUCUUUAAUUGCUUUUAAUUUCUUUGUACAAUGUUAAGACUUUAUGUUAGAUAAUUUUAUAACUUAUUUAUGGUUAGUGUUUUUGUUAUGA